rnacentral:lncRNA from 1 species
GGGAGGAUUGCUUGAGUCCAGGAGUUUGAGCCUGCAGUGAGCCAUGAUUGUACCACUGCACUCCAGCCUGGGCAACAGAGUAAGACCCUGUCUCGAAACAAAACGAAAAAAAACCAACUAUGGGUUUGGGUUUCAGACCAGCCUGAAGCUAAGCCUGCUCACGGUGCUCUCGGGACAUUUGCCUUCAUCUCGCUGCAUCUAGAGCAAACAGGAAGGUGUUAGGAGAGGCAGGAAGGCGGGGUUUCCAUCAGCAUCAGGCAGGAGGGGACAAAGGAGUUUUUCAUGCCUGGCAGAAUCCUCACUCUAAGAUGGUAGGAAUGUACAGUUACAGCUAUAUAUCCCUUUGGGAAACUUUUUGGGAAGUAGGAAGAUCUACCUCCAUCUGACUGUGGUAUUUUCUGCUUUAUGAAAAGCAGAGAUAUGUGCUUUUCAUGUAGCUUUAUGAAUGUAAUCUUCUAUCCUGUGACAGAAAAAGAAAGAGAAAGGAAGAAAGAGGGAGAAAGAAGGAAGGAAAGAAAGAAGAAAAUGAAGGAAAGAAAGAAGAAAAGGAAGGAAUGAAGAAAGGAAGGAAGAAGGAAGAAGGGAGGGAAGGAGGGAGGAAGGAAUGUAGGAAGGAAGGAAGGGAGGAGAACUUGAUAUUUGAUAACUGUGUUUGUGAGCAUCUUUCUGGUCAUCCUAUCAUCUUCUCAUUUUGACAGGCACAUGUCAAACUUCAGUGCUGCCUGAUCUCUUUCCCUUCACUGAGACUUGAUUUUAUCUGGUGACAGUUUUCCUUUUAACCAGUUAUCAGGAGUAGGCGGCUUGUAUUCCCUUUCCCCUUUAAAAUUCAUACCUUUAAACUUCAUAGUCACACAUGUUGCUACAUAACAUAUUACCACAGACUUAGCCACUUAAAACAACCCUCCUUUAUGAGCUCACAGGGAUGUGGUCCACAGGCUAGGAGAGGGCUGGGUCCUUAGGGUCUCACAGGGUCAAAAUGGAGGCAGAUGCUGGAUGGCGCGCUUAUCUGGACGUCCUUGAGAAGAAGAAUCAGCUUUCGACCUCCUUCAGGCUGUUGACAGAAUUCAGAUCCUGUGGCUGGUGAGGACGGAGGACCCCUUCCUUGCUGGCUGUCAGGUGGGAGUGACUCUCAGCUCUAGGGGCUUCUCUGUUCCUUGCAUGAGGACCCCUAUAUCCUCAAAGCCAGUAAUAGGCGUGAAUCCCCUCACGCUUUGAAUUUCUCUGACUUCCUCUUCUGCUACUUUCUAGAGAAAAUUCUCUGCUUUAAAGGGCUUGCCUGCUGGGCUAGGCCCACCAGUAUGAUCUUCAUGCAGGGUGGCUGACUCGGGAGUUUAGUGACAACUGCAAAACUCUUUCAUAGCUGUGCCUAGCUUAGCAUUUGCAUAAGUAAGGCACAGGACUCUGCAUGAAGGGGUCAUCUUUAGAAUUCUGCGCACCACAGCUACCAACCUGGAAGCACUUUAGUCCCCUCUGGGGGUCCCGGAUGAAUGUGGAGGUCUCCAUGUUCCAGAGAUGGUUUCUCAUCUUUUGAUGAGCAAUCUUGAAACUGGAUUCUGUUUCAACAACUGUGCUUAUGCUUUAAAGGGGAAGACAUGCUGACCCUUCUGGUGGCACCUUUCAGGGUGCAGAGGAUUGCUGUGGUGCUAGCUUUGAUGGAUUGUUUGCAAAAGUGGCUGCAAUUAUUCAGCUCCCUCUGCAGUGGUGGAGUCUGUGUCCACUCCGCUUGACUCUCAGCUGAUCCUGUGGCCUGCUUAGACCAAGAGACUGCAAAAGAAGUGACUGUCUGUGCUGAGCCCUCAUCUCUAGAGACAAUGCACGCUUCCACCUGCCCCUUUCAAACUCUGCUGAGCUGCCUUGUGAACAAACAGCCCAGGCUCCUCAUCCAGCCCAAUCCAGAGGCAGAGCAGAUGGCAGUUGCUUGAGGGAAGGCAUCUGAGGUCAGCAGAACUAGAGAUUCACCAGAAGGAACUUAUGGCUGUUAUUUUAAGACACUAAGUUUUGGGUUGCUUUGCUAAUAUGCUCAUAGUUCCAUUUCUCUUCGGAGACAGGUCAAACGGAUAAGUCCCACCCUGUUCUUGGGAGCAACAUUAAACAGUAGUCUGGGACAAAGGUUUCUCACAGAAACUUCACGAGCAUGAUAGACUCCAUAUGUUUCAAUAACAGGCAAAGUAUCUUUCUGUGAAAGUCACACUCAGAUUUUGUGUAAUUUACUGAAGAACUCCAGUUAAAAGCCACAAUAUUUUAUUUCCAUCUUUUUCCUAAGAGUGGAAAAAAACCAUUAAAUGUGUGAUACAUUUUAGGGGCUUCAGACUUAAAGGAGAAUUUAAUUGAGGGUCUUCAGGACCUCUGAUCUUUCAAAAUCCUCUAGUGGUGCCAUUCACACAGCAUUGGCCAAAUUUUGGGGGUCGUGUCUGAAAUGUUUGGAUAACAAAAAAGUCUUUUUAGGUUAAAAAUUAUUUUACUUGAUUUCUUUUCUUAAGUAAUAUUUACAGGGUACUUUAUCUUUUUUACUUUAUCUCUUACAGAACAUUUAAACCUUAUAACUUUAAGAUGUAGGUAUUAUCCCCCAAACCCUCCCCCACAAAACACACAUGAUACAUGAAAAAAACUGAGGCUCAGAGAGAUGAAGUCACUUCCCAUAAUGGAAGAGGCAGGGCAUGUUCUUAUUACCAUCUGACACCAAAACUCAUCCUUUUUCCGCAUGUUAGUAAAUGAUCAGAGGUUUGGCAUCAGAUAGUAUAUUUCCUUUAAGGCCUUCAAAAUGUUAAUCAUUUCUCUUCUUGCACAUUUUUUUUUUUAGAGACGGAAUUUCGUUCUUGUUGCCCAGGCUGGAGUGCAAUGGUGCGAUCUCAGCUCACUGCAACCUCUGCCUCCCUGGUUCAAGUGAUUCUCCUGCUUCAGCCUCCUGAGUAGCUGGGAUUACAGGCACGCGCCACCACACCUGGCUAAUUUUGUGUUUUUAGUAGAGAUGGGGUUUUACCAUGCUGUCCAGGCUAGUCUCGAACUCCUGACCUCAGGUGAUCCACCCGCCUUGGCCUCCCAAAGUGCUGGGAUUACAGGCAUGAGCCUUCAUACCCGGUCAAACAUCUGUCUUUAAUUUAGAAAAUACGGAGUAAAGAAAUCAUUAACUUAUAAGUAUAAGCCAUUUAAUUUUUUAAAAAGGUCAAGUCCAGUUGAUCACACCUGUAAUCCCAGCACUUUGGGAGGUGGAGGCAGGUGGAUCACUUGAGACCAGGAGUUCGAGAGCAGCUUGGGCAACAUGGCGAAACCCUGUCUCUACAAAAAAUACAAAAAUUAGCCCCAUGUGGUGACGCAUGCCUGCAGUCCCAGCUAUUCAGGAGGCUGAGGUAGGAGGACAGCUUGAGCCUGGGAGGCAGAGGUUGCAGUGAGCCAUGAUAGUGCCACUAUGCUCCAGCCUGGGCAACAGAGCCAGACCAUGCCUCCAAAAAACACAAACACAUACACACACACACACACACACACACACACACACACACAACCCCACAAAAAAUCCCAUAAGUUCUCUCCAGUCUUACUUGUAUGCUCAGCUUUCAAAUGUUUAUAAUGUACCACUAACGUUACUAGUGCAUGGCGUUCACCCUUCCUGUCAACAUUUUAUUAUGAAUAUUUUAAAAGUCCAGAAAAAUCAAAAGUUUUUUCUUUUCUUUGACAGAGUCUUGCUCUGUCACCCAGUCUGGAG